rnacentral:rRNA from 1 species
AUUCCCCUAGUAACGGCGAGUGAAGAGGGAAGAGCCCAAGAUUGAAAGCUGGCGUCUUCGGCGUCCGCAUUGUAAUCUCAAGAAGUGUUUUCCGCUUCGGACCAUGCCUAAGUCCCUUGGAAAAGGGCAUCAUAGAGGGUGAUAAUCCCGUACAUGGCAUGGAGCGCCCGAGGCUUUGUGAUACGCUUUCUAAGAGUCGAGUUGUUUGGGAAUGCAGCUCAAAAUGGGUGGUAAAUGCCAUCUAAGGCUAAAUAUUGGGGAGAGACCGAUAGCGAACAAGUACAGUGAUGGAAAGAUGAAAAGAACUUUGAAAAGAGAGUUAAACAGUACGUGAAAUUGCCAAAAGGGAAGGGUAGGAGGUCAGAGAUGCGUCUUGGGAUUCAGCCUUGCUUCUGCUGGGUGUUUUUCCCAAGUUGCAGGCCAACGUCGGUUUUGGGCACUGGAGAAGGGUGGAAGGAACGUGGCACCUCUCGGGGUGUGUUAUAGCCUUCUACUGGAUACAGCGACCGAGACCGAGGACAGCAGCGUACUCGCAAGAGCGGGCCUUCGGGCACCUUUACGCUUAGGGCGUUGGCAUAAUGGCCCUCUACCACCCGUCUUGAAACACGGACCAAGGAGUCUAACAUGUAUGCGAGUCUUUGGGUGGCAAACCCAUAGGCGCAAUGAAAGUGAAUUCAGGUGGGAUCCGCAAGGUGCACCAUCGACCGAUCCUCACGUCUUUUAAGUCGUGGAUUUGAGUAAGAGCAUACCUGUUGGGACCCGAAAGAUGGUGAACUAUGCCUGAAUAGGGUGAAGCCAGAGGAAACUCUGGUGGAGGCUCGUAGCGGUUCUGACGUGCAAAUCGAUCGUCAAAUUUGGGUAUAGGGGCGAAAGACUAAUCGAACCAUUACAGUAUAUUAUAUUGCUAGGUGGUUAAGAGGUGGCUAAAAGGGCACACCUAGUGGGCGCUGAAGCUCGCGACACUGUCAAAAUGCGGGGACACCCUAAAGCUUUCAAUACCAAGCCGGCGUGGAAACACAGUCGGUGGCCGAGUUAACAACCCUGGGUAUGGUAAAAACUUGAAAGAUAGUACAAUGGGCAAUCCGCAGCCAAGCUCUAAGGGCCGUCAAGCCUAUGAGUGCAGUUCACAGACUAGAUGGCAGUGGGUUUCGUCUUUUUCGAAGACGGGGCUUAAGAUAUAGUCGGUCCUCUCUCGAAAGGGAGCCGGGGGAUGAAAGAUCGAGGUUCUUCAGCAACAGACCUCUUUCCAGAGCCUCUGGGAGUCAAUUCCGAUGAC